rnacentral:rRNA from 1 species
UACGUAGGCAGCGAGCGUUGUUCGGAGUUACUGGGCGUAAAGGGUGUGUAGGCGGUUGUUUAAGUUUGGUGUGAAAUCUCCCGGCUCAACUGGGAGGGUGCGCCGAAUACUGAAUGACUUGGAGUGCGGGAGAGGUGAGUGGAAUUCCUGGUGUAGCGGUGAAAUGCGUAGAUAUCAGGAGGAACACCGGUGGUGUAGACGGCUCACUGGACCGUAACUGACGCUGAGACACGGAAAGCGUGGGUAGCAAACAGG